rnacentral:rRNA from 1 species
CAGCGCCACGGUAAUACAGAGGGUGCAAGCGUUAAUCGGAAUUACUGGGCGUAAAGCGCGCGUAGGUGGUUUGUUAAGUUGGAUGUGAAAGCCCCGGGCUCAACCUGGGAACUGCAUCCAAAACUGGCAAGCUAGAGUACGGUAGAGGGUGGUGGAAUUUCCUGUGUAGCGGUGAAAUGCGUAGAUAUAGGAAGGAACACCAGUGGCGAAGGCGACCACCUGGACUGAUACUGACACUGAGGUGCGAAAGCGUGGGGAGCAAACAGGAUUAGAUACCCGCGUAGUCCCUGUCUCUUAUACC